CAAUAGCGUAUAUUUAAGUUGUUGCAGUUAAAAAGCUCGUAGUUGGAUUUCGGUUAAGAGCGACCGGUCCGCCGUUUGGUGUGCACUGGUUGGUUUUAACUUCCUGUAGAGGACGUGCUCUGGGUUUAACGACCUGGACUCGGAGUCUACGUGGUUACUUUGAAAAAAUUGGAGUGUUCAAAGCGGGCUUACGCUUGAAUAUUUCAGCAUGGAAUAACACUAUAGGACUCCUGUCCUAUUUCGUUGGUCUCGGGACGGGAGUAAUGAUUAAGAGGAACAGUUGGGGGCAUUCGUAUUUCAUUGUCAGAGGUGAAAUUCUUGGAUUUAUGAAAGACGAACUUCUGCGAAAGCAUUUGCCAAGGAUGUUUNCAUUA
rnacentral:rRNA from 1 species